rnacentral:rRNA from 1 species
ACGGCUGCUCAGUAACACGUAGUCAACUUACCCUAUGGACGAGGAUAAUCUCGGGAAACUGAGCUUAAUACUCGAUAGAUCAUAAUGCCUGGAACGGUUUAUGGUUGAAAUGAUUCGUCGCCAUAGGAUAGGACCGCGGCCUAUCAGCUUGUUGGUGAGGUAAUGGCCCACCAAGGCGAUUACAGGUACGGGCUCUGAGAGGAGAAGCCCGGAGAUGGGUACUGAGACAAGGACCCAGGCCCUAUGGGGCGCAGCAGGCGAGAAAACUUUGCAAUGUGCGAAAGCACGACAAGGUUAAUCCGAGUGAUUUCUGCUAAAGAAAUCUUUUGCAAGUCAUAAAACCACUAGUGAAUAAGGGGUGGGCAAGUUCUGGUGUCAGCCGCCGCGGUAAAACCAGCACCUCAAGUGGUCAGGAGGAUUAUUGGGCCUAAAGCAUCCGUAGCCGGCUCUGUAAGUUUUCGGUUAAAUCCAUGUGCUCAACGCAUGGGCUGUCGAAAAUACUGCAUAGCUAGGGAGUGGGAGAGGUAGACGGUACUCGGUAGGAAGGGGUAAAAUCCUUUGAUCUAUCGAUGACCACCUGUGGCGAAGGCGGUCUACCAGAACACGUUCGACGGUGAGGGAUGAAAGCUGGGGGAGCAAACCGGAUUAGAUACCCGGGUAGUCCCAGCUGUAAACGAUGCAGACUCGAUGAUGCAUUGGCAUAUAGCCAGUGCAGUGUCGCAGGGAAGCCGUUAAGUCUGCCGCCUGGGAAGUACGUACGCAAGUAUGAAACUUAAAGGAAUUGGCGGGGGAGCAG